AUAAUGCCUUAGGUAACUGAAACUUUAAUAACUAUAUUUUACUCUAUCGACUAAAUUCAAUUUGUUUAAAGCCGGCUCGGAAGCAUGCACGGAGUUUUUAAAUUUAAUAAAGAAAUUAAUUAAACCGAAAGAAGAUGCGAACACAUCAGAUGAGGUUACUAAAAAGCCAAAGACUAAAAAGUUUGAGGAACGUUUGGAGAAAUAUUUUGAUGAGAAAUUUCCUUGGUGGCCAAGCAAAUUAAUUGAAGAUUUAGAUGCGACCACCGAGAAGCCAACGACAAAAGCGACACCUGUAGAAAAAUUAGUUACCAGUUACAUGGAUUUUUUGAGUAAUUUACUUAAGAUUUUUUAGUUAGGUAUAAAUUAUUUAGCAAGUGUUUUUGUAAGCCCAGCGUAUGGAAUAAACCUAAAUAUAUUUGGAAUGCACACAGUUGUAUAGAUAUGGCAUUAGAAACACGAUUAUUUCGUUUGGAUGUUACAUCUGCACAAUAAGUUCGAAGAAUAUUAAACACUUACACUGUAAUUCCUCAUAACGGCAGCAAUUCCGGAUUCAUAUUAUAAAACUACUAAUGAAAGUUAUAAAGUAUCGACUCAAUGUCAGCGUUUGAGUCUAUAUUCAGCAACGCUAAAAAGUAUGAUUACUGACACGUAUAUGUCACCUCUUUAUACAACUGGUGUAUAUAUGUUGCGUCCUUAUUUAACAUUAAAUGAAAGCAAUAUGAAUCUGAACUGCGUAAAUUUGUAUGAUUAGUUUCACAGCGUUAGACAUCUUAGGUCUGGUUCAAAGCUAACCUCUUUAUAAUUUUAAACGCAGUGUUUAUAAAUAUCAGAGCAAUAAUUUAACGACAAUAUAUAUUGUAAGCAAUUGCUGCUUUUUGUAUUAAGACAAAUUGGUUUAAAUAAAAAGAUCAGCACAUUACUGUCAAGAUUGAGAGUUUUAGUAAGAAACACCCUUUUAUUGAAAAACUAAAUCAGUCUAAUUACAUUGUAUUAUAUUAGAAAACUCUGUCUUUCUUGUCUAAUGGAGUUUACGCUGUGAUAAAAAGAGACAAACUGAUGCUUUAUUCAAUUCGAAUGACUGUAUGAAUGUGAACUUAUGUAUACACGAUAAUACAUUUAUGAAAGUAAUAAAUUAUAUCUUGAAAUUCU